CAACCGUGUAAAAUGUAGACAAUGAAGCUCACCAGGUUUGUAAACCGAGACCAGCACAAGGAGCUGUAAGACGAGGCUGCCUAAGCCAGAAACCUCAUUCCCGAGAGCCCGACUUGGUCCGCCCUCAGUGACCCUGAGACAGCUAAACCUCCAUUUAAUCGUGAAACAUCAGACCCUGCGUCCUUCCUUGGUCAUCCCAGCCAAGGCCAAAGUGGCACAAGGAGUUUAAUGCUGAGACUGGGUGAAAAAUUUGUUUGCUGACCUGACAGAGGCUGAGGACGCUGGAAGGGGGAGAGCCAGGGCUGACAUGGAGCAGUGAAAACCUAAUGGCUUUUAGUGCUUCUCAUUUAUUUUUUCCAGUUACUUGGAAUACUUUCUUCAAGGAUUUUGUUUUCCUUUCUGCUUUAUUGCAAUUGCCUUUGAUCGUUUCAAAUUAUUAACAUUCAAAAAUGAAGCAUGUUUAUCUCUUUCCAAUAUUCUUCACAGGUGUUUCCAUUCAAAUCUACCCAAUGAACCCAACCUGAAUUAAGUGAUCUGACUAGGCACUUUUUAGAUAAAAGCAAAGGCAAGGAGACAUUCCUGCGUUUGCUGCUGCUCGCUGACACCCACCAGGAGCCUCAUGCUGCUAUUUCCUAAAAUAAUAGGAAAUGGUCCCAAAGAAUUAGCAGCUUCUCCAGCCAGACCCCUCCUGCCCAUUUAUCAGAGGAUGCCCCGCUGAUACUAGCAGCAGCAGAGCGGUACUGGUUCAUCUCCUGUGGUUUACCUGCAGUUCAUGAACAACCACUGCCGAAAGUAGUGCCCCCUCUGGCACACCUAUCCUCACGGCACUGCCAAUGCCCACCGCUACACCUUCACUGCCUUCGAUCAAAGAGAAACACGAGGAGCAGUUUCGCUUGAUCUGAAGAAAGCUUUUGACACAGUCCUGCACAGCAACAGACCUCCACCACUCUGUCGCUGCCCUGGCACACUCACUUUGGAGACAAAGCAAAACCCACAGGACACGGGUGAAUGUUGAAGGCCACCUGGCAAAGGAAUACUGGAUUUUGGGAGCCACCCAGAUACCCCUUGGGUUGCCUUCAUCUCUGCACUGGCUGCAGAGGAGACCACAGAUGGGAAAGCUCCUGGAGCGGGUGCACGGGAGGCAGGAACACCCCGCGGCGGCCAGGAGGGAGCCAUGAAGAAAGCGGAGGUCUGUGCUCUGCACUGAAGCAAGCAGGACCACGGCAUGGAGAAGAGGACAAUAGUGGGACCAUGUCCCUGGGGGGAUGGCGGCCCCGAGUUGCCAUCCUCAGAGCCACUGGGGAUCACUGGAGAGAAACCACAAAACCAGGUGACUUCUGAGGACAUGGGACUUGCUUCCAAAGACAAACAGGUCCUGGCACAGCCUCCCAGGCCACUGAGUUCAGUCCUGGGUGUCCGAGGUGUGUGACACCACCCCUUCGCGAACUGUUCCCAGCUCUGCCUGCAAUCUGGGGAGGGGCUGCCCCUCAUUCAAUCUCUGAUCAAAAGGCCGAGCUCAGAGAGGUGGCACCUUUGGGGAUCAAGGCUGGGGUUUAGGAGAGGCAGCUCACCUUGUAUUGCAAACCGGUUUCAGCCUUUACUGAGAGUUUAUAUGCAGGAUGGACAAAUUCAAAUGGUUGCUGCUCUGUCAGUCUUGGCAUCAUCUUUUCUACUCACAGAAACUCCCUGAACGUCUGACAUGAUGGAGAUGACAACGGAAGCACCAGAAACUUGGCUUGGGAGUGGGGUGACAGCCUCCGGGCAAGACCUCUCCUGCAUGUAAUCUCCAUGAGAAACCACAGGGGAAGAAGGGCAGCACGUGGCCCGGGGAAAAGCGGGUGGUAAAUCUCACAUGUCUCACUUAAGGCUGAUUUGGCAAACCGGAGAAGGGAGCAUGUGGGGAAAACAUGCUGUCCCCUGAGCUUGCUUGAGAGAUGGAUAUGGGAUGGGCAACGAUGGCCGCCUCACAACCUGCCACAGCAAACAUGGCUUCAGCUGCACAUGGAGUAGGGUGCUAACGGGAAUGUGGUGCUUGCCCUGGGAUGGGCACCGAGGGACGGCAUACGCCAUCCCUUGGUCCCUGGCCCAGGCCACUGGCAGGUUGCAGCUGCAGAAAAUGCUGCUCCAGCAAGCAACUGCUCCUGGGUGACUUGUGCUUUUCCCCGGGUGGAAAGGUGGGCUGCAGGAGCUAUUUUUGCAUCUCUCCUCACUUUCACGCAAUUGCAACCGAAUACCACAAGCCCCAUCAGCCCUGAGCAGAGUGCGUGGCAUUGCUAAUGUAAAGCACUGUUUGCUUGCAGGCAAGGAGACGGGGUUUCUCAGUUCUUUUUUGUUUUCCUUAACCAAAUUUUUAAUGCUCUAUUUGCCAAUUAAUUGUGUUGCUCAUCACUCCUUGCAGUUUGGGAACAUCUGCCGAGAUCAUUCACGCUGCGUUGCUCCCCACUGAAGUGUUGCUCCCCAUUAACAAAGGCGUUAUCUUGAAACUGGAUUUAACAUAGACCCCCGUGACACUCUGCUCCUCCCAGUCUGAUACAGCACUUCAUGAUCCUGUUUCCAGUCGUAAGAUUAUGAUCCACAGCAAAAUCAUUUCAGUGCAUACACAUGCCCAGCUAUUCAAAUAGCUUUUUACAAUAAAGCAUCACCAUCCAGUACAGUGACCACUCCACCAGGGAGUUAGCAAGCAACCUUGAUGUGUGACAAGCAGCACGUGGCGGCUGGGAUGCGGGGACACCUGGCAUAAAGCAAAACAGAUGAUGCCCUCUAUUCUUGCUCCAUCUCGCGUGGUGUUGCAUGGGCAUCCCUCACUUUCCCAUCUGCUUUAUCCAACUCUGAUCACCUUCAUUUAACAGGUAGAGAAACAGGAGCCAGUAUGUGCCAUGAGAGGUGGUUUUGGGAAUAAUUCUGCUUUUUUCUAUCAUGGAGCUGCAAACAGAAGCAGCACCUUUCUCCAAGCUCUAAGCCCUUCUCCUGGGAUAAUGAAAUCAGUAACUCAAAGCUCUCCAUGCAAAUUUAGGGAUUCCUUUGCUAGGAUAUCUUUACCAAAGCCUGUGAAAGUCAGGCCUGAUUUUCAUAGCUGCUUGAUUUUUCCCCCCUCUCUUUUCUGACUUGGAAAAACUUGGAAGUGUUUGUGUGGCAUUUUCCACAUGUGGAAUUACUGACCUAAUUUUGGGUUCUUCCAUCCUUUUAUUUUGGUACAGCCAAAUAACAGCCUCUCGCCACAGUGCAUUUGUGGGAAACGCCAAAGGGACGUUAGCCCAGAAUGAGACCUUGUGAGCAGGAUGAGGACAGUCAGGGAAAAUGGCCUGAAAAGCGAUGGAUGGAAAGGCAGGAGGAGGAGGGAUGAACAACUCCACUUCAGUGGGGUGUUGCACGCGUGGAAGGGAAAACGCUGACCAUGACAUUUUGCUCUCUUCAAGACUGAUUUCUUUACGUCUUUGUGUCCCUGCUGACGCUGUGGUCCCCGGGACCACUGGGCUCCACGGCUGACCCCCGAAAUUACGUUCUCCCAGUAUCUUCCCGUAGCACAUGGAAGGAAUUUCCUGUUCUGCUCACCUCAUGAGGAGGUGGCAAAAAGGCGGGGGAGGAUUUUCAGCUUCUGAGAGAUUUGCACUAUAAAAUAGAGGGACUUACACGAAACAAAACCUAUGGGAGUCAAGGGAGGCUUGCUUGGGCUCCUGUAUGUGACAUAUUUGUUGAAUGCUACAUAAAAAUAUGUAACUCUUUUUGUGCCAGUGCUGUGGAAAUUCAGAGCAGACUCUCACCUGCUGCAAAUCAACGGAUCAGAAAAGAUCUGCCCUCUGUGUAGUGGAUCGAACUUCUCUGGCGGAAGAAUAUGAUAAAUCUACCAGUCCAUGCCCACAGGAACGGUAAGUAUGCAGG